rnacentral:rRNA from 1 species
CCUACGGGAGGCAGCAGUGGGGAAUAUUGGGCAAUGGGCGAAAGCCUGACCCAGCAACGCCGCGUGAAGGAAGAAGGUCUUCGGAUUGUAAACUUCUUUUAUGUGGGACGAAGGACGUGACGGUACCUCAUGAAUAAGCCACGGCUAACUACGUGCCAGCAGCCGCGGUAAU